GCCUGGGUGGCUUAGUCGGUUAAGCAUCUGACUUCUGCUCAGGUCAUGACCUCAUGAUUUGUUGGUUCAAGCCCCGCGUCGGGCU
rnacentral:tRNA from 1 species